rnacentral:rRNA from 1 species
CCUACGGGAGGCAGCAGUGGGGAAUCUUGCGCAAUGGGCGAAAGCCUGACGCAGCCAUGUCGCGUGAAUGAUGAAGGUCUUAGGAUUGUAAAAUUCUUUCACCGGGGACGAUAAUGACGGUACCCGGAGAAGAAGCCCCGGCUAACUUCGUGCCAGCAGCCGCGGUAAUACGAAGGGGGCUAGCGUUGCUCGGAAUUACUGGGCGUAAAGGGAGCGUAGGCGGAUAGUUUAGUCAGAGGUGAAAGCCCAGGGCUCAACCUUGGAAUUGCCUUUGAUACUGGCUAUCUUGAGUACGGAAGAGGUAUGUGGAACUCCGAGUGUAGAGGUGAAAUUCGUAGAUAUUCGGAAGAACACCAGUGGCGAAGGCGACAUACUGGUCCGUUACUGACGCUGAGGCUCGAAAGCGUGGGGAGCAAACAGGAUUAGAUACCCUGGUAAGUCCACGCUGUAAACGAUGAGUGCUAGUUGUCGGCAAUGNAUGCAUGUCGGUGACGCAGACUAACGACAUAAGACACCUCCGCCGUCGGGAGGUACGGUCGCGAAGAAUUAAAACUAACAAAUAAGAAGUUAGUACGGACGUAGAGACGUACGACCGAACGACGACGAACGAGGGAGAGG